ACUGGUUGUAACAGAUUGUGGAAAAGCAUCACCAGCAGCACUGGACCAAUCAGGAGAGAGAAGACACAGAGGACUGAAGGGACUCAGAAAAUCCUGCUGGAAAUCCCAAGAUGAAGUUUCCUGAUGCAACAGCGGGACACCUGAGGACACAGAAUAAAGAAGGACCAUGUGAAGCAGAUGAUGGUGAAGGUUGAGGAGAUAAUGACUUGAUCAGAAACUGUGGCCGACAACUGCAAACGCGCAGCAAACAGCAAAACGAGCUGC